rnacentral:misc_RNA from 1 species
CUGAACUGUCGACAUGAGCUGUUGCUGGCCUUCAUACGGAGGCAUGUGCACGCUCUGUUUACACAUCCACUCACACCUGUGCACUCUCUGCAGUUCUGUGGCCCUCGAGGUUCAUCCUCCUGGCUGUGGCUCUGCGUCUUUACACACACUCUGUAACGAAGUAUAACGGAAUGUAUGUCGCGUCUAACGCAAUAAAAUA